GUCUUUAGCCAAGUGUAAUCUGAUGAAUACAAACUAAGAGUUCUGUCCUGGGUUAACCCUCAUUCUUUUCUGUAAAAGGCUUUCAGAUCCACUCAGAAAGGUGCAAAACAAAUCUUACAUCUCUGGGCAGAGACAUGGUGGUGGCAGAGAGCAAGGAAUGGGGGAGGGAUGUUGGCCCAUCUCCUGAGAGCCACUGAUUGCCACUCCUCACUGUGGAAGAGCUUCUGCAGCCCUGCGCAUUGGCAGGCUCUCAGGGCUGGGUUGGGUUUAGGAAUUAACUUGAAGUGUUAAUUUUGUAAAUAUCUAGACAGGGUUGAUCCUCCACAAGAGGAGAGUUGAUCACACAGAAAGACCUAAAAGCCUUAGAGAGCUACAAAAGUGUUUCCCAACUGCAAGCCCCAUUUAUUUCUACUACACGACACGACCUCUGUGGAUCAGCAGCUGUUUCCUUUGCUCAGCAACUGAACAGCCCAUUCCCUCUUUGUUUCAACUUUGCAGGGGAUCACCAAUGGGGAGCUGAGAUACUAAAGCUCUCCAUGGGAAUGAAAGUUAAGAAGGGCACCAGGGAGGCCACUGGCACACAGGGUCUCCGUCUGUAACCCGGGCUGGAGUGCAGUGGCGCGAACACGGCUCACUGCAGACUCGACCUCCUGGGAUGGGAUCUCAUCAUGUUGCCCAGCCUGGUCUCCAAUUCCUGGACUCCUCCCACUUUGGCCUCCCAAAGUGCUGGGAUUAUAGGUAGCAGUCAAUAGUAUUGAACAAGAAAAAGCUGCAUGACUUUUAGACCAGAGGAGUGAGGACAGCACUUAGAGGAGGCACACAGCCAACACGUCCAGUUAACCAGGAUAAAUGAUUUAAAAGAACUUUGUAAAAAUGCUGAACAUAAUUUGCUAUCACCAAAUAUAGGAAUCUCUGAAGCCAGCUGUCUUGCUCAUAUGAAAUGCAAUGACAAGAUCCAAAUUGUGAGAAAAGGAAUCCAACUUGGUUGGAACAGGAAAGAAACAAAAACAAAGAACCUCUGGCCCAGAGUCAUUUCUGUUUGGAAAAAUUUCUGAAGAUUAAACUUAGGCCCUGAGUGCACCUAACAGUGCAAUCUGCAGGCUGCCAACGCGUAGCCGUGGAACUAAAUCCAGCAGCUCAAGGUGAGAGAAAAUUAAGUGGAUAGAGUCUACCUCCUUAAGAUACUCUUCUUAUCAGAGCUUCCUGAGACCUUCCAGAGUGAUGAGUUCCAAAUUACGUACAGCCAUAGGAAAAUAAAUAUUUGGCCAGCUGUAGACAUUGGAUUUACUUAUCUGUAGCCUAUUUCUAGCUUCAGAACAAUUUCUACUUCUACCUUAUAAUCCACCACAGCCCAGGAGUUUAAGGAUCUUUUAUUAAAGUAUCUUCACGUAGUUUAUUUUUUGAAACAAAAAUUACCACUAAGAAAAUAUUUUUUAAAAAUACUCUCCAAUUAUACAUAGUGUACAUGUGUAUGUGUAUAAAUACAUAACAUAUAUUUUACUUUCACACAGAGGUUAAAAUCAAGUCAGUGCCCUGGUCUACUCCCUAUGUGGAAAGUUCAGAGAGAAGGGUCUGAACAUGGCUUUUUCCUAAGUUUGUUAUAUUCCUUGGAACAUGUUUCACAGGAUGUUACUUAGGGCUCCAAUUGACUGGACAAAAUAAUCAUUACACAUACAGAAAAGAAAUUACUAAUUUCUUUAAUAUAAAAAUGUAUCUUACAAAUCAAUAAGAAAAGAUAACUCUAUAGGAAAAUAGGCAAAGGAAAUAUCCAGGCAGUUCAGGAAGAGGAACAAAAAGCAGGAAAUCAACAUGUGAAAACAUACUCCACCUUGCUUGUAGUUUAAAAAUUCAAAUUCAAAUGAUGAUGAGACAGAAAUUUUCACUUCCAGUUGGUACAGAUUUUUUCUUUUUUUUUAAGACAGAGUCUCCCUCAGUCACCCAGGCUGGAGUGCAGCAGCCUAGGAUCUUGGCUUACUGCAACCUCCAUCUCCCAGGUUCAAGCAAUUCUCCUGCCUCAGCCUCCUGAGUAGCUGCGACUAUAGGCACCCCCCACCAUGCCCAGCUAAUUUUUGUAUAUUUUCAGUAGCGAUGGGGUUUCACCAUGUUGGCCAGGGUGGUCUCGAGCUCCUGACUUCAGGUGAUCCAUCCACCUGGGCGUCCCAAAGUGCUGGGAUUACCAGUGUGAGCCACCGCACUCAGUCAGAUUUUUAAAAGAGGUAAAACCAGGAUAAGAUAUGAGAAAACAGUCGUUUCAUACAUUGUUCAUAAGUGUAUAAAUUGAUAUAAUGUUUUGUGUUGGCAAUGUUGCAAUACUUAUUAAAAUUGAACCCCACAUUUUACUUCUACUGUAGAAGUAAUUAUAGUAGUAACCUAUAGAAAACAUUCCCCUAAGUACACAAAGACAAAUGUACAUGAAUGAUGUACAUAGUUCCUAACAGCUAAACACUGGAAACAAACCUCUGAAAAGAAUUUGGUAGAUCUAUAUGUACUUACACAGAAAGGGUUCCAAGAUACAGCAACAUGUAAAAAGAGCAAGUUAUAAAAAUGAUUUAGAAAAUGAUUCAAUUUUUGUUAUAUGCAGAGGAAAAAAAAUCUAGUGUCAUAUAGACUAAAAUAUAAAUACUAGCUAUUUCUGGGGGUUGGCAUUUUGGAGUACCUUCCAUUUCUAUCUCAUGUUAUUUCUGUAAUAUUUGAUCAUAUACUAAGGGUAAAAGAAAAACAAUUUAAAAAAUAACAGUAUGAACAUCACUUACAUAGCUUUCUUGCCAACCCCCAGAAAUAGCUAGAUUAGAUUCAGGAUCAUGUUAAAUCUGAAGCUAAACAUGAGGAAACAACAAUCAGAUAAAUCCAGAUUGUGUGAGAUGCUGCAAGAUAACUAACCUGGACUCCUAAAAUGUGUCAAUGUCAUGAAAAAUGAAAAGAGUCAUGGAGACUGUUCUAGAUUACAAACAACUAAAGAGACCUGACAAUGAAACACAAUAUGUGAUAUCUGACUGGAUUCUAAAUUUAGACACACAUGAAAAAACAUUAUAAAGGACCUUCAUGGAACACAACUGCAUGGGUGACUCUACAUGACAGAAUAGUAUUUCUAGGAUCAUAUUUUGGGAAAUGCUGGGAUAGAAAAUGUCCCUUUAACUGAAGCUUAUUGUGACCCUUCAUGCUAGAUGUUCCUAUAUUUUUUUUUCUUAUUUAAUCCUGGUAAUUUACAGAAGAAGAUGAUGAUUUUCUAUCAAACUUAAACUCUAAUUAUUACUCUGAUUGUUGAGAGAUGCCAAUAUAUUCAUUUCUAGAAUAUCUUACCUGGUUUAUAGAUUUUUCAAUUAGUGCUUAGAUACCAACUGUAAUUUAUUAUCAAGUUGGGGAAUUUCUGAGCUGUAGGGGAUCUUAGAGGAAUUGUGGGAUCAACCCUUAUCAUUUUACAGAUGAGCAAAGGAACUCCGAUGGGCUAUGUGACUUACAGAUAUUUAAUUAGGAGAACCGGCUUUGGAAACCUAGCCUCCAAAUUCAGUAGUCUUACCAUAAAACUAUUAUGAUUUACUUACCCUUGCUGAAUGCCAGCAGUGGACAAGGCAUCAUAACGGCCUGCCCUAAGGCACCCUUCUGCCGGAAAGAGGCUCAACACUUGAGGAGGAAUUGCAUGACAAUCUUCAGGGAGCAAGAGCAUCCAACUCCCCGCACUUCUAAUCAUGCAGGCAGUCUGCCGAGUCCACGUUGCACUAAGGCAUGCCCUUUGCCUGACUUGUUUGUUACAUAAGAAAGCACUAGGAGUUCGAGCCAAUACUCUUUUUUCUUUAAAAAAAAAAAAAAAAGACAAAAGACAAAGCAAACUGACUGCUUAUGGAAGAUGGAUCACAAAAGAGUCCUAAGUCCUUUCCUUAUCCUCCUAAUAAACGUUUCCCUCACAACAUAUUUCCAGUAGGCCUCAAUCCAUCUGGUAGAAUGAUGGGGGAGAUUAAAUCAUUUGUUCUUUAUAAAAUGUGUGUAACACUUUCUCAACUACACUAAGACUCCAGAUUUAUACAACCCUCAUUUUAUAUCUCCCUCUGAGAAUAACCUCCUGAUUUACAGGAUUUAAAGAAGUCAAAAGCCCUUCUCCCUAAAGCAAUUUUCUUCACUGGCUUAUACCCAUUCUUUUUUUAGAUGGAGUCUCUCUCUGUUGCCCAGGCUGGAGUGCAGUGGUGUGAUCUCAGCUCACUGCAACUUCUGCCUCCCAGGCUCAAGCAAUUCUCCCUAAUUUUUGUAUUUUUAGUAAAGACCGGAUUUCACUAUGUUGGUCAGGCUGGUCUUGAACUCCUGACCUCAGGUAAUUGGUCUGCUUCGGCCUCCCAAAACGCUGUGAUUACAGGCAUAAGCCACCAUGCCUGUCCUUAUACCCACUCUUUAGGAGGCCAAUGGAAUGCCCCCCAAUGAUGAUAGUAAAAGGGUGACUUCCCUUGUUGAGGGGGUAGGACAGGCACAGGGCUCUUGAGAGCACAGAGAGCCACAAAGGUGACCAAGACCAAGGUUUGUAGAGGUAAGUCCAAGUCUAAAUAGCUGGAAAAGCACAUGCAACCUCAAAUCUGGAGACUACCAAGAUUGUGGUCGUGAAUCGAGGGUUUGGAAUUGAAUGGAAAUGGGUUGGCUGCACAGACAGGUCAGGGCCAGGCAAGACUGUCUUGGAAAAUAGCCCCAGAUUCUAGCUGGCAUGUGUCGUUUGCCAUGUGUGGUUGGCAGGGUCUUGUGUCUCGAAUUGGCUGAUGUGGCCAGGAUCAGGUGGGACCAGAAGAGCCACUGCACGAUCAGUGAACUACUGUUGAGAUCUCCAGGGCCUGAGUUAGGGUCUGGAGUGAAAACUGGAUCCCCACAUUCAGGGGGUCAGCAGGGUGUGAGGUCAAAGGUAAACCCAUUGUUGGUCUAAUAAUCAAAUUUGACAAAUCAAAAGAGGAGUAAGAAUCCAAGCAUGAAGCCACGGAGAGCAGGCAGCCCAGGCAGCCAACCUUAGAAGUGUGUAGUGCAGGGCUGGGGUGGAGAGGGGUUGGGAGGAUGCCAGGCCCAAAGAGUAGAUGGUACAGCCACUUUUCAUCGUGUUCCUGCUGUUCCGAAUGGGGACGUAUCUGUGUCAUUAAAAUACCACUGGACAUUU